CCACUGCAGAACAAGGAUGCAAAGUGCAAGAUGCAACACCUUUUAAAAAAUCUGCUGUGAAAAGGAGAGGAAAAGAUGCCACUGAUAACCAACUUGUGGAAAAUAGAGUAAGAGCGUGGGAAUUACGUCAGCUAAAAAACAUUGAAGAAGCAACUACCCAUGAAUUUACGAUUGAAGAUAUUUGAACUUGCAAGCUCCAUACCUAUUACCUGCAACUUCUACAAAUGAUAGGUGGGAGGGGCAGCGUAACAAGACGAUGACAUGUGAGGACAAGUAAGAUUCACGCAUCCUGAUCCUGCAUGACAUUAUAGCCUGUGCAUGCGGAUAAAUGAUGACCCGCCGAGUGUCUACCCACAAUGCACUUCACUUGCAGAAUCAUCAACGGCUGUGACAGUUAAUGCAAAUCCAUUGGGCUGCUUGCAAAAUAACCUCUCUUGGCAAAAAUAUCUUUAUCUAUAGAGUAAUCACAAAUGAUGCAAUGGGGAAUGUUUUUGCUGUAAGCACGGGGAAAGAGCAAGAGGCACCGACAACAGGACAACCUUUGGUGGAUUACUAAUUAAUGGCCUUGUUUGGCAUACUUUAA